AUUGAACGCUGGCGGCAGGCCUAACACAUGCAAGUCGAACGAGUGGCGGACGGGUGAGUAAUGUCUGGGAAACUGCCUGAUGGAGGGGGAUAACUACUGGAAACGAUAGCUAAUACCGCAUACUGUGAGAUGGACCUGCGUUGUAUUAGCUAGUUGGUGAGGUAAAGGCUCACCUAGGCGACGAUCCCUAGCUGGUCUGCGAGGAUGACCAGCCACACGGGAACUGAGACACGGUCCAGACUCCUACGGGAGGCAGCAGUGGGGAAUAUUGCACAAUGGGCGCAAGCCUGAUGCAGCCAUGCCGCGUGUAUGAAGAAGGCCUUCGGGUUGUAAAGUACUUUCAGCGGGGAGGCGUUACCCGCAGAAGAAGCACCGGCUAACUCCGUGCCAGCAGCCGCGGUAAUAC
rnacentral:rRNA from 1 species